rnacentral:lncRNA from 1 species
GUUGGAUGUCAAGAGUAGAUAAUGUUGAUGACUAAUGGAAGAGUAGUUUAUACAGCGUGGAUACGCUGGGCAAAGAGAUGGUUCACAUUCCACUUGGAGCAGGAUGGUGCAAGAUUUCAUCACACUUCUCAGAACAACACACAGUUUAAAACUUAAUGACUUUUUUAUUUCUGGAAUUUCUCAUUUAAAAUUUUUGGACCACAGUUGACUGCAGGUUGUAAAGCUCUCUGAAAUAGUGACCUUAGCGAAGCAAGCACAUGUGGAUGUGAAAUUUCAGUUGCCAAUAUGAUCUGAAAACCCAGUGGAUGGCUGAAGGAGUUGAUUGACCACCAGUUGAGAGCCUGCAGUUCAUCAGUUGAGAGUGACAAUUCCAGAGUGACCAGCUGAGCAUAUAUGCAGGAGGAGAUAUCUUUUUAUGGCUUAGCAGAAUGCUGCUCAAAGCGCCAGUCUCUGAAGCUCUUUGUUCCUGACUUGCAACCAGGUACUUUAGAUUUUCUACAUCUAAUGGUGGCAAAUAAAUCCACUAGCUGCCAAAUACAUGGGAAAUGAUCUGUGAAAACCACAAGUGGCCCAACAAACUGUACGUCUUCAAUUUGACAGCACAAAGGAAUUAUUGGU